rnacentral:lncRNA from 1 species
GGCAAUGGGGGUCCCAAGAUCCAGGGGGGGAAAAGGGGAUGGCUCUCAGCCACCACAAAAUGGGGGGCCUUUAUGUUCAGGUUUUGCCCAAGAGUCAGCUUAUUUGCUUCUUGUACUAGCAGGGCAGUUGCUGCCAAGGCCUCAAACAGGGGAGCCAUCCUUCAGAAACCCUGUCUAGUUGUUCAGAGACGUAGGCCACCGGCCUCAGCCAGGGCCCCACAGUUUGGGUUAAAAGUCCAGCUGCCAUCUUUUCUCUCUCUAACGCAUACAAUGGAAAAGGCUUUGUCAGAUCGGGUAGCCCCAGGGCUGGGGCUGCCAGAAGUUUUUCCUUUAAGUCAUGAAAGACUUGCUGUUCUUGGAUCCCCAUUCCAAAGGUUCCGGUCCCCGCCCCCUUUGUGACCUCAUACAAAGGCUUGGCUAAUACUGCAAAGUUUGGGAUCCACAGUCUACAAAACCCCACAUCCCCUGAGAAUUCUCUCGCCUGCCUUAGGCACUUAGGCUCCGGGAGAUUGCAAAUAACCUGCUUUCUUUCUGUUCCCGGGCUGCGUUCGGACUCCUGUCAGAUAGUAAAUCCUAAGUGGCGUCGGACCCCUGUCAGAGAGUAAAUCUCAAGUAAGGUACCUGCCAUCGGCAGAUUUGAGCUUUCUUCUUGGACACCUAAUACCCACAGUCCUCCAGGCUCCGGUAGACUGCAAAUGACCUGCUUUCUUUCUGUUCCCGGGCUGCGUUUGGACCCCUGUCGGAUAGUAAAUCCCAAGUAAGGUACCUGCCCUCGGCAGAUUUGAGCUUUCUUCUUGGACACCUAAUACCCACAGUCCCCCAGGCUCCGGUAGACUGCAAAUGACCUGCUUUCUUUCUGUUCCCGGGCUGCGUUUGGACCCCUGUCGGACAGUAAAUCCCAAGUAAGGUACCUGCCCUCGGCAGAUUUGAGCUUUCUUCUUGGACACCUAAUACCCACAGUCCUCCAGGAAUGGAACAGAUAAGAAGAUACUGAAAUUGGACGGUGCUGCCGUGCGGCUGCCGCAGGACACCUUUAAUAUCCCUGUUUCUCAGGCUGUAGAUGAAGGGGUUCAGCAUGGAGGUGAUCACCGUGUACAUCACUGAGGCCACUGCAGCCUUUCUCGGGGAAGAUGACACAUCUGAACUGAGGUACCCUCCAAAGCCUGUUCCGUAAAAUCAGCAAACAACUGACAGGAUAACUUCAGGAAGUGGGUAUUAAUUCUCACGGUAUAAGUGAAGACAUUAAGCACCAGAGUUUAAGUAGCUUGAUCCACUGAAAGAGAUUCAACUGUGUGGAACCUAUGCCGUGGAGAAUUGCUUUCUGCCAUUGUUAUCGUCCAGCAGUUGCCGAAUAGCUCUGACCUGAGCAAAGCAGUGAAACGCGGUGCUGUUGAGUGGGUUGCCACUGCACCUUUUUCAACUACUCUAGUCUUGUGGAGAAAAUACCCCUUCUAAAUUUUUUCUUCAUUGAAUACUCUCCCUCAGCUCCAGAGUACCAUAUAGAGUUUUCUUGUAUUUUAGAGUUACUGUUUUAUCAAAGUUUACCAGUCUUUUGUAUUACAUUUCUCCUGUCUAAAUCGACUGUGUGGUUUCUACUCAUUAUGGAUAUAGAUUGAUACAAACUCAAUAAAUAUUUUUGAAUGAAUAAC